CCAGCUCUCAGUGUCCUUCAGUGUCCUCUGGUCAUGGGGAAGGAAGUGCUGGUCCUGCUCCUGGAGAAAGGAUCCAUCUUCUCUGCCCUGUCCCCAGGUGCCAUCCAAGUGCUGUCCCCUCUGUUGUUCCCCCAGGAUGUGACACAGCUGCACAUCUGGAACCAAAGGUGAGUAGCACAGUGUUCCCAGUGUUUCUUUCUGACCUGCAAGAUAAAAUCCUUAGACAUUUUACUGUUUCACCAUUAUCAUUCUUCUGUUUUAUGAGAAAUCUUUAUUCGAUUUUUUUUUAAAAUAUUCUUUUACGCAUAGAUGGAAAAAAACCUUUUAUUACUUUACUGCUUGAGAUUAGGAUCAGUCUUCAAGAAAUUGGUGCUCACUUUAUGACCUGUGUCUGAUUUAUCUGCCCCGUUUUAGAAGAGCACAGUUCACUUGGACUCCUCAAAGCUCAGGGAUGUGUGGUUGGAACCUAUACAUGGGAUCACAGAAUCAGUGUCCCUUAUACAGCACAUAAAGGAUCUUAUAUUUUAUAUAUAUAUAUAAAUAAUCUCUCUAUAAAGCAUCUCUUGAGGGGAUGCUCAGGUCAAGAAGCUGAACUGACCUGGUACAACCAAUCCAACCAAAGCUGAGUGAUCCCACCCAUCCCAACCCCUCUGCCUUCUCCCCCACCCAGCUGGAGGUGAUCCAUGCACUUCCCUUUCCAGUGGAGCUGGAUAUGGACACACAAACCCAUUAAAAAUAUCCUUAUUUCUAACAGUGUGUGAUGCAUCUGUGCCCCCAGGCCUUUGUGAGGCAACGAGCAAGGUCACAAUUGACGUGCUGGAACUUCCAAUGUUGGAGCAAGGAAGGAGCAGAUCCUGCCCCAGGAGCAGCCAGCCAUGGCCACGCUGCAGGAGCUGCAAGUGCUCUGCAUUUCUUCUCACAGCAAAUACCUCAGAUGCUUCAAAUUCCCAGGCCUCCAGGAAACUUCUCUGGGCCAAUUCACUUCCUGCUCUCAGAGCUGGCAGUUCACCACUUGUCUUACCUGCAGUUGCUCUCUUGGGGUGCCACAAGGGCCCCAAAUCCCUGCAUCCUCAUUGCCAUAACACUCGGAGCUGGGGUUUGGAGCUAGAUGAGCUUGAAGGUCCCUUCCACCCCGAACCAUUCCGGG
rnacentral:lncRNA from 1 species